CAGAAAUUAAGGUUCUUGUAAAUUCUCGGUAUUCUCGGCAACUUAUCUCCCUGAUAUUUACACAUAUGGACUUCGAAAGGAUAAUUACACAUACAUGAACAGGAAAGUACUCACAUGCGUCAUAUAGUGAGCAUGUUAGACUAUAUAAGAGAAGCGAACGAAUCUUUUCCUCAUAUUACGUCAGUGCACCGUCUCAGCCAUCAUCAUGAAGUGUUUAUUCUACAUUGCGCUCUUGCUCGUCCUUGUGUGCCAAAUUUUUGGACAACUAGAUGACAUACAGAAACAGCUCGAAAACUGCCAAAAGAAUAAACUAUGUGCAAAUGGAGAGGAAUGCUCUAUAAGACGGUAUUUCUGCAUCAGAGCUCCGUGCCCACCACCGGAAGUGAUCUGUCAACCGAUUCGUAACGACUGAUUGAAAAUAUUAUUCCAAACCGAAACUGGAUGAGGACACCAUGAACAUGAAAGUGCUACAAUGUGCUGUUUAUAAUUUUUCGGUGUAUCUACGUGUUUAUUUCUUCAUUCAUUUACACUCUCAAUAUCUGAAAUGAUCAGUCAGUUAAAUUGUUUGUUAAUCAACGGCUGUUUUCCAUUUUUAUUGUUUCUGAAACGUGAAUUUCUAAGCGCCCGGUAUUGUUAUCAAUAAACGCACACCUGGUACCGCAAAGAGCGUUCUCUUUAAGAGAUUGAAGUCUUGAAAAAGGGUGCUAAUAAAAAGUGGUCCAUGGAGACAGAUUGAAGGGCGUACUGAAAUAAAUCAGUCUUUUGUUUUACAACCCUAAAUCGGCCGCUGGGGAUUUAACACGAAGUAACGUCCAUUCAUUCCAACACCCUAACUGCUGUGCAAAAGAAUUAAGAGCAUGUACCGUCUUAACCGUACAUAAGCACAACCGUUGUAAAUUAAUACCUCGUAGAAUUUACUCAGUGAAAAUAUAUUCAAUUAUAUAUUA